rnacentral:lncRNA from 1 species
GGGUUAGGAGAACUUGAUCCCGCAGGUACAAACUUGGAGUAGACACCGACAGGCCGGGCUUCCUCCGAUCUAUACCUCCACUCUAUCUCUCUCAAUCUAGUAGAAACUAUAAGAUCUAUUUCUACUCACAUUGGUUGCUAAGCCUAAAAAGAAAUUUUAUUUAGAGAAGAGGUUUUCCUUCGAGGGCUCCCCUCAACUCUAUGAUAAACUUGUCUCCUCCAGGGGCCAGGGGGUCUGGUUUUAUAGUCCCUUCAAGUGAACGUGAGCCAUUGGAUCAAACCGACAUUGAUUGGACGGUUAUCCUUGAUCCUUUAGGUCGGUGGAACAUCGUGUGCCAAAAGAGUCCUGAUCCAACUCUAGGAGGGGGUGGGCGCCUAGGUCAACUGGGCGGGCGCCCAGGGCCUGGCCCCAUUCGGCCUCCGCUUCCUUCCCGUGGCUUCUAGAGUCUUCUAGAUGGUAGAAAAUUGCGGGUGCGUUGAUAUCUCUAUGUAAUCCCGACAUGUGGGUCUUUCUUCCUUAUUUCCUGAUAACCCCCUAUAGAAACAGAUAAGCAACAAAACUCAUGGAAUUCUGUCAGAUCAAACCCUAAUUCUAGGUGUUGUUUGUGUAUUGGUCCUUUCUCUUGUUUAUUUGAUAAUUAAAAUUGAUACUUAAGAACCGUCAACAAAUACCCCCAUACUUAGGCUUUUACUCGUCCUGGAGAAAAUGAUGGUUAUGAACAAUAUCUGGGGUAAAACAUUUUUAAAAUAUUCUCUUCAUAACUGCAGGGUAUUUAAAAAUCCACUGUGUACUAUAGUCAGGGAAGUAUAUGGUUAAGAGUAAAGAUCCUUUCUUCUUAAUCCUGUCACUUGGAGUUUUUGUAUAUUUUUGAAAAGAAAGUUAGCUUACCUUUUAUCCUCAUAGGUUCUCUCAGAUCACUCAUUAUCUUUUAUAUAUCUCACUGAGGCUGUUUUAAUUUGCAAAAAUUCUCAAGCAUACUUACUUUGCAUUUAUUGCUUGAUCAAAACGGGAUCCGAGGAGGGGAAUGUCAUACUCUUAGAUCAAAGACUUUGGGAAUUUAAAAACUUUAUCAACUCUUGCUGGCAUAUUGCUUAUUAGAGGGACCAUGGGCUAUCUUUUUCUUUUUCUUCUUUUUUCUUUUUUAUUUUUUUAAGUGGAUACCGAGGUACCCCUAAUUCUACUGCCGGACACUUGUCCAUUUUUUUCUGCGAGGUUGUCGAGCACUUGCUCCUUUUUAUUUCCUCGAAAUAUCUCUAUUUUUGCAUAGCCCAUGCCUCUAAUGCAAUAAUACUUCGGAAGAUUGAAUCUUUCUGAAUAAAUAUCUUGAUCUUAGGAGCAUGAUAAAUCUCUCAACAAGGGUCUAACUCAUUUGAACAAACUCAAUACAAAGUAGAUAGCCUUUAUAAUCAUAAUUAUUUUUUCUAGUUUUAGUAGGCAUAUAAAACAUUGAGGAUGGUAGCUAGAAUUUUUGAAGAUUUUGAAAUAAAUUCUCCAAGUAACAAUGAUAUCAAGAAUAAGAAACUCAUACUCUACCAUCUCAUAUUCCAUAAUGACUUAAGUAACACAGGGUUUUUAAAAUGAUUCUUUUCCAAUAAUUGCAAGUUUUAGGAAAUAUUAGAGAGUGAGAUUAAUCAUGUUUAGAAAUAUUUUAAUCUUUUUAAUUUAUCAUGUCGAAAACAAUAUUCUGCAUAAUCCAAGAUAUAUGUAUGUGUAAUAGUAAAGUGUGCAGAGUGUGUACCUAAAUCGUGGAGUGGUGUAGUCGAAGUGUGUUUGGCAUGUCGAGGGUGUUGACGGUCCUUAAGUAUCAAAUUUAAUUAUCAAAUAAAUAAAGAAAAGGAUCCAAAUGAAAUCAACAUCUAGACUUAGGGUUUUAUCUGACAGAAUUCCACGAGUGUUGGUGUUUGUCUAUUUCUGCAGGGGGUUAUUAGGAAAUACAGAAGAAAGGCCCACACGUCGGGAUUACAUAGAGAUAUUAACGUGCCGCGCAAUUAUCUUACAUCUAGAAGACUCCAGAAGCCACGAGACCGAAGCGGAGGCGAAACGGGGCCAGACCCUGGGCGCCCGCCCAGUUGGUCAGGGCGCCCGCCCACCUCCUGAGUCCAAUCAGGACUCUGCUUUGCGGGAGAUUUCCACCGACCUAAAGGAUGAAUCUAAACCAUACAAUCUAUGUCGGUUUGAUCCAACGGCCCAUAUUCACUUGAAGGGACUAUAAAACCAGACCCCCUGGCCCCUGGAGGAGAGAGCCUCUCAACCCUAAUUUAUUGUUCCAUCAAGGGAGAAGAAGCCUCUGAUCAAGAUUAGAGCCACCACAUCAAUUAGAUAUCUAGAUUAGCAUAGCUACAUAGGAUUAGAACUAGAAGAAGUCAAUCUUCGAUUGGUUUCCGGAUCUGUCAAGAGGAUUCUUGGUAAUUCUCUAAUUGUGCUUCUAAUUGCUUUCUAAUUAUCUUUGUUCUUCAAUAUUAUGAAUAUGACUUUGUUCUACUUCAAUUUAUUGCUUAUGACUUUGCUCUACUUGCUUAUAUUCAAGAUUAUAUUGUUCUUAAUUUAUCAUAGUUAUGUACUUGGCUUAGUUAGAUUCGAUCUAUAUACAUGCUUAGGAUCGUAUAGCGUUUAUCCAUCGGAUCCAUGGGUAAAUGAUAGAUAUUGUGUAGGCGUGGUGCUUAUACCGUAUUUAUCUGCGAUUGUACCCAAUAUGCCAGAUCGUGGGGUGGUUCGUGAUAGUGACAGCUUCAUUGAUUCUUAUAUAGUCCCCCUCUCGUGUAUUGGGUUGGCAGAGCAACAUUAUUACAGGGGAGUGAUUGCUAUGUUUCUCAUAUUCCUUGCUAAUAUCACUAUGCAUGGGCGUAGUCUUGUCUCGCAAUGAUUGCUAAGUAUGCUUGCACUAACUAUGAUAAUGCUAGACUAUAUAGUUGAGAAUAACUUAAGGAAUAUUCUUGUAGUUCGUUCUAAUACCAUGCUAAUGAGUUUCUAGAGUAUCUAAUUGAGGUGCUUAUCAUAUUUAUUAUGUGGCUAGAUCAGAUUAAUUAUCCUUGUCACUAUUAUUAUUUCAUAUAUAAUUUAUGUGACACUUAUCCCUGUAUGAAGAGUUGGAUAUAAUGUUCUCAAUUAUACAUGCAAUGAUAGAUGCUCAAUCUCAUAUUCUAUUCUGUAAUCAAUAUUGAUGAUUGCUAAUCCCUUCCCAGUGGUAUAAACAUAAAUAACGAUACCUGGAAUACUUCCCGGUUAAAAUGCUACAUCGGUAUUAAUCUGUGCGCUUGCAGAUCCCAUUCAUUAUUUAUUUAGAAGAGCAAUUGCAUAUUUCAAUACCGCGUCUCUCAUGUCAUGCUGGGGAUGACAACUUGGCUUAAGUGGUGUGAGGGAUAGGUUUGGCAUUUUUGGCACCGUUACUAGAUUUAGAGAACUUAGUCUACUUUUGGUAAUGAUGUUAAGAAUAUCCAACAAGCAUUUUUGGUGCCGUUGCCAGGGAAGGUUGAUUACUAAUCAGGAAUGGAAUAAAAGAUUUUGAGUUAUCAUUCGCAUCACUAAUAUGAUUGAGCUUAUCUAUUCUCUCAUACAGUUUUACCCCGAUAUUUUCCUAUUUCAUCUUAUGCAGGGGAAUGUAUGAAUAGAAGACAUCUUCUAGGAAAUUUUGUUGACAAUCCCGAAGCAUUAUUCAAGAAGACGAGAGCCAAGCUAAAGAAAUCAUCAACACUUCAGCAAGAAGCUUCAUCCAAUCAAGAAGAUCACCGGAACUUGUCUUCAGAGUUCGAAGCCAUGGCGAACAAAUCAAUCCGCGAGUUCUCAGCUCCCACUACGGACAACAUCCGCACUGGACCUGCUGUAGAGAUCGAUGGCAACUUUGAGCUCAAACCUGGACUUAUCAACAUGGUGCAAUCCAACCAGUUCUGUGGGAAGGGACACGAAGAUGCUAGUGCUCAUUUACAACACUUCCUGGAGAUUUGCAACAUAUUCACCAUAUCAGGAGUUUCCAAAGAUGCUAUACUACUUCGCCUCUUCCCAUUCUCACAGUUAGGAAGAGCGAAGCAGUGGUUCUACGCUACAAGGAGAAGAAUACUACGUGGGCACUCUGCUCAACAAACUUUCUGGCUAAGUUCUUUCCCAUGGGCAAGACCAAUGCUCUCCGUGGGAAGAUUACAAGUUUUCAGCAACAAAAUGAUGAAUCUGUUCCAGAAGCAUGGGAGCGCUUUCAAGACUACACCCUAGAAUGUCCCCAUCAUGGAAUGAAGAGUUGGCUACUAAUGCAGACAUUUUAUCAUGGGCUCGGCAACAGUGCCCGAGAGACCAUGGAUGCUGCAGCUGGAGGAGCAUUCUUAUCACUUACUAUACCACAAGCCACAGCUCUUGUGGAGAAGAUGGCGUCCAACCAAAGCUGGAAUGAAGAGAGGACCCAGACACGCAAGAGAGGUGGAGGUAUGCAUCAGCUGAAAGAGGUAGACAUGCUGUCUGCAAAGCUAGACCUGCUCAUGAAGAAGCUCGAUGAUAGAGCUAGAGAUAAGAAGGAAGUUAUGCACAUCUACGACUCUCACAUGACUUGUGAGGAGUAUGGAGACACUGGACACUCAGGCAACCACUGCCCUGAGAUGCUUGAGGAUGUGAACUACAUCAACAACAACAACUACUACUACAACCGUCCUCAACAAAAUCAAGGUUGGAAUCAACAGAGGCCUAACUACUCAGGUAAUUAUCAAGGUAACAAUUCUUACAACAAUAAUAAUAAUAAUUUUCCACCUUUGAGAGAGUUAGUGUCUAAUCAAGGAAAGCUAAUGGAUAAUCUAUCUAAGAAAUUGGCAUCUAAUGAUAAAAUGCUAGAAAAUAUAAAUAAUAGAAUGGAUAAUUUCUCUACUGCCAUCAAGAAUCAAAUUAGCUUUAAUAAAAUGAUUGAAUCUCAGUUAAAUCAAAUAGCUGUUGUUGUUCCUACUACUAACCCCGGUAUACCAUCACAACCGGAAGGAUUAGAAUCUGCAAAUCUUGUAGACACAUUUGAUGCAGGUAAUUGGAGUAACCCCGUCAAUGAAUUAUCUACUGACCUUCUGCCGGUCAAGAGAGGUGAUCCAGGACGCCCCGUCAUCCCGAUCUCCAUCGGCAUGGUGGACGUUCCAGAAGCACUCUGCGACUUUGGCUCCAGUGUGAACAUUAUACCCAGGGUACUCUAUGAAAAAUUCUUUACAUAUCCUUUAUUAGAAACAACCAUGUGUUUGCAGUUUGCAGAUCAGACGAUAACCGUUCCAAAAGGAAUAGUGAAGAACCUUUGUGUCCGAGUUGGUACCUUAUAUGCCCCAGCAGACUUCGUAGUGGUAGAGACCGGAAAAGAUGAGAGAGCACCCAUCAUCUUAGGGAGGCCAUUCUUGAACACCACGGGAGCUAUCAUCUACGCCAGUGCUGCCAAGAUCAGUUUCUACGUCAAAGGGAAGAAGGAGACAUUUUUCUUCAAGAACAAGACUACACAAAUUCCAGAUCAAUCUAGACGUGAAUCAAGGAAGAGGACCAACAGGAGGAACAGGAACAAGCAAGUGUGGACCGAGUCAGCUAAGAUGGUCAUUGUAGUUCAUGGAGGCCAAGAUCACCAACUUAAGUCACCGCUUUUGACCAAGAAGGACGACCCAGGAAUGCCAAGUAUCUACUGCUCCAUAAAUGGAUACAACUUCUACAAAGCAACUUGUGACACCGGAUCGGGCGUCGACAUAAUGGCCGCAGUCACCUAUUGGCUCUUGUUUGGAACCAUGCCACUAAGACCAACAUACAUUCAACUCCAGAUGGCAGAUCAGACAUUUCGAGAAGUUAAAGGAAUAGUAGCUGAUGUCCCAGUCAAAAUAGACGAUCACUUUGUCUACACAGACUUUCAAGUUAUUGACAUGGGAGAAGACGAGUACGAUCCACCCAUCAUCCUUGGAAGACCGUUCCUCAGCACCGUUAAAGCAAUUAUCUACAUUGGAACCGGAGAAGUCCAUUUGCACUUCCCCUCAGAGAACGUACACCGUUAUUUUACCGACCCUAACUAUAUCGUUGAAGAAUCUAAGCAGGUCAGAAAGCAACGCAACCGCAACCAGAGGAGGCAGAUCAUCAGGGACGGAUGGGCAGACUACGAAGGAGAAGUUGUAAGGUCAGAAGAUGUAGAGUUUAAACAGAAUUAUCCAGAAGAGACUGAAGCACCAAGUCAGGUGUGGAAAAUGAAGAUAACUAUACAUGAAGAGGAGGCGCUGCCGGAAGUACCGACUACGCCACCCAACGAACCUCAGGACAAUUGAAAAAAUGGAGUCCCGUUCGGAGGACUUAAAAAUACCGAACGCCUUGCCAAGAGGUAAACUUGGUAGUUAUCCUUUCCCUUUCAAUUAUUUCAAAUAGUUUACUUAGUUAAUCAUGUUAGUACUAUCUUAAAAAUAAAAGAAAAUAAAAAUGCGAAAAACAGUAAGCCCCAUGUGAGUAUGCGAGUGGCAUAAAACCCAUAAGUACAUUCACUGAGGUGGCAUAAAAAUAAAAUAAAAAUUUCUUUUCUGCUUUAUAAAAUAAAAAUAUAAAAACAGGGAGUAAUAAUUAUUAAGGAGUCUCAACAUAAUAAAGGCUAGAUAUUUAUGCUAACACUUAAUCAGUUCCACAAGCUUUGUUGUCUAUUUGAGCUCCCAGAAUCUAAGAAUCAAGAAGACUAGCAGACGGAGGACAUUCUAAUCGCUGUCAGAAUGUUGCUGACUUUCGAAUACACCUCUGCCACCUGCUAGCUACAUCAAGAGAAAUUACGUCAAAAUUCAGCUUGGGGGAGAGCACCCCCAUUUAUCUCGAUAAGUAUUUCUAUCUACCUAUCUUUACACUAAUAUUAUUUUAGAAUAUAAAUAUACAUAACUAUGAAAAAACCAAAUAAAGAUUUUAUGCUUAUUUAUAUAUCUUUUGCUUAGUGUGUUUAAUAAAUAAAUAAAGUGGCUAUGCUAAUCUGUAUCUAAAUAAAACUUAAGCAUGGAUAUGAUGAAUAGUUGCUCUGCCUAAUUUGCACAUUUUAAGUUCUCUCUCAAGUUUAGAUAUAACUGUUAUAAUUUAAAGCUUGCUCUAGACCUAAACUUGUGGGAUGAAAACUUGAUCUGAAGUCUAAGUUGUUAACGGAUACGAUAUGGGAAGGUUGAGCUGCUGUUUAUCUGUUCCUAGAGAUGCUAGAAUUCUGGAGAAUUUUAUCUUUGAAAAUCUUUAAAAUGUUGCAUGAUGAGUUCCUGUAUGAUGAGAGUUUAAAUUCCUACCACAGCCAUAUAUACAUGCUUGCUAGACUUUGAGCCACACAUUUACUAUUUACUGCUUAUGAGCAUUGAGUGUGGUCAAGCUGUGUAGACCCUUAGGAACUUGUCAUGUGGUUAAAUCAAGAUUCACUUGCACGUUCACUCAUAUACGAUACUUCUACUCCGGAAGUACCAUCCACAUAUAUCCACCCAUUUCCAUCUCCAGAAUCACCCAAAAAUAUUCUACUCCUAAUCCGGGAGAGAAUAGCAAAAAAAUAUUUCUGUUUUCCCUUGUGAAAUAAAUGCUCAAGUUAUCUUGUUACUACCACUUGCUAUAUUAUCUCAAGAGAUGAAUGCUCUAAAAAAAGAGAAAUACGAGGAAAUAAAAAGGAGCAAGUGCUCGGAACCUCGAAAGAAAAGAGAGAGUGAGACGAGAGGUAAAAAUGGACAAGUGUCCGACAGUAGAAUUAGGGGUACAAGAUACCCACCUGAGAGAAAGGAAAAAAGAAGAGCAUCUCAUUCUCCUCAUAAAGUUUCAAAAAAGCAAGAAAGGUAUGUAUCCCCUCAAAAGAGCAAAGUAGAAUUAGACUUCCACCACCAUUGUUUUCACCAUUGUUAUCACCAUCAUCACCAUACAUCAUUCAUUCGCCACACAUGCACAUCUUGAUUAAACUCAUUGGCUUGUUUCUUUGGAUCCAUGGUUUGACUAUGCAAUACAUGUCUUGUAAAUAUGUAUACUUUAUUUCCCACCUAUGAGCUCCAGAUAUUAAAGCCUUAUUAGAGUAGGGUGAGAGAGAAGGCAAUAUCACUAUGCCUUAUACCACAAAUACUACAUAUCUUGAGAGAAGGCAUAUACCAUCACUGCCUUGGUAAGGAUCCAGAAAUACCACAAAAGAGAGAUCUGAGAGAAUCAUACAAGGAGUCUCUGAGUUUUAUUUGAAAAUCUGCAAAAACACCAGAGCUAUAGCUGAUCAAGAAUAAGAGACAUGGCACUUAACUAGACUGUUCUAUCUUUUAACUACACAAGAUAGAAGUGACGGUUACAAGUCCCAUGGUAGAAGGUAAAGUAAGUAAGUUUUAAGUCUUGACAGUUUACUCUAACUUAGAGAUGAGAUCUUAUUUAAAAAGCAUGUGUACCGUCAAUUUUUAAAAAAUAUUGCAACAACUUAUGAUCCAUAGCUGGUCUAUCCUUGCUCAGGGACGAGCAAGAGGUAAGCUUGGGGGAGUUUGUUGACGGUCCUUAAGUAUCAAAUUUAAUUAUCAAAUAAAUAAAGAAAAUGAUCCAAAUGAAAUCAACAUCUAGACUUAGGGUUUUAUCUGACAGAAUUCCAUGAGUUUUGGUGUUUGUCUAUUUCUGCAGGGGGUUAUCAGGAAAUAUAGAAGAAAGGCCCACACGUCGGGAUUACAUAGAGAUAUUAACGUGCCGCGCAAUUAUCUUACAUCUAGAAGACUCCAGAAGCCACGAGACCGAAGCGGAGGCGAAACGGGGCCAGACCCUGGGCGCCCGCCCAGUUGGUCAGGGCGCCCGCCCACCUCCUGAGUCCAAUCAGGACUCUGCUUUGCGGGAGAUUUCCACCGACCUAAAGGAUGAAUCUAAACCAUACAAUCUAUGUCGGUUUGAUCCAACGGCCCAUAUUCACUUGAAGGGACUAUAAAACC